CUGCUCAGGUGAAAGGCAUG
rnacentral:misc_RNA from 1 species